rnacentral:rRNA from 1 species
AGUGAACGCUGGCGGUAGGCCUAACACAUGCAAGUCGAACGGCAGCACAGUAAGAGCUUGCUCUUACGGGUGGCGAGUGGCGGACGGGUGAGGAAUACAUCGGAAUCUACUUUUUCGUGGGGGAUAACGUAGGGAAACUUACGCUAAUACCGCAUACGACCUACGGGUGAAAGCAGGGGAUCUUCGGACCUUGCGCGAUUGAAUGAGCCGAUGUCGGAUUAGCUAGUUGGCGGGGUAAAGGCCCACCAAGGCGACGAUCCGUAGCUGGUCUGAGAGGAUGAUCAGCCACACUGGAACUGAGACACGGUCCAGACUCCUACGGGAGGCAGCAGUGGGGAAUAUUGGACAAUGGGCGCAAGCCUGAUCCAGCCAUACCGCGUGGGUGAAGAAGGCCUUCGGGUUGUAAAGCCCUUUUGUUGGGAAAGAAAAGCAGCAGGUUAAUACCCCGCUGUUCCGACGGUACCCAACGAAUAAGCACCGGCUAACUUCGUG